rnacentral:tRNA from 1 species
GGUGACGUGGCCCAACUGGAAGCAGGCACCGGUCUCAGAAGCCGGAAGGUGUGGGUUCGAAUCCCACCGUCACUA